GAUGAACGCUGGCGGCGUGCCUAAUACAUGCAAGUCGAGCGAACGGACGAGAAGCUUGCUUCUCUGAUGUUAGCGGCGGACGGGUGAGUAACACGUGGAUAACCUACCUAUAAGACUGGGAUAACUUCGGGAAACCGGAGCUAAUACCGGAUAAUAUUUUGAACCGCAUUGUUCAAAAGUGAAAGACGGUCUUGCUGUCACUUAUAGAUGGAUCCGCGCUGCAUUAGCUAGUUGGUAAGGUAACGGCUUACCAAGGCAACGAUGCAUAGCCGACCUGAGAGGGUGAUCGGCCACACUGGACCUGAGACACGGUCCAGACUCCUACGGGAGGCAGCAGUAGGGAAUCUUCCGCAAUGGACGAAAGCCUGACGGAGCAACGCCGCGUGAGUGAUGAAGGUCUUCGGAUCGUAAAACUCUGUUAUUAGGGAAGAACAUAUGUGUAAGUAACUGUGCACAUCUUGACGGUACCUAAUCAGAAAGCCACGGCUAACUACGUG
rnacentral:rRNA from 1 species